AUGUUGACCAAAGCUACAUUCAACCUGGCCUUGAACACUUCCAGGGAUGGGGUAUCCAAAACUCCUUUGGGCAACCUGUUCCAGUGUCUCACCACGCAAAAUGAAGUUUAUAUUUUAGGAAUAAAGGUUUUCUGUUCUCCAACAGACGAAGAGGUGAUUAUAUCUCUUCCUGAAAAAGACGAUCUUCAUUUGUGUCCCGGACUCACUCUCAUUUAGCCAGGCAUCUCUGGAGGGACCGAGAUCCAUAUCUUCAUUCACAUACCAGCUGUGAGAUGUAGUUGCCUGAGUAUAGUAACCUAGUGUCAUUUGCUUUUCCUAGAAUGUUUCCAGAUUCUGUAUAGGCAUGCUAACAGGACUUAUGGGUACCGCUGUCUUUUGGACCAAGAAUUGGAAGCUAAGAAAGUUUUCCCAAAGUCACUAGAGUCAUGUUAUAUUUGUAUAAAGAGAAAGAUAAAUCUAACCAGUUAUCUGCAAUGUGGAAGUCUAAAAUAAGCUUAUGCUUUCCCUCUAUUCAGUUAAGUCUAGUCUUUGCAGCAGGUAGACACUAGAGAGCUAGUCGUCUUAUUAGAUUUAGUUAUUUACAAUGACAAUAAUCAAUUUCUGAACUCCUUUGAUUUUAUUGAUUGCAAAGGUCCCCAUAGACUACACUGUGAGAUUACACAGCUGAAUUACCUAACAGACACCUAAAUUAGAUGUCUGAAUCUGGAGUUGAUCUUAUUUUAACUGUGUGAUAAGUACAUUAUAUCAGAAGUGCUAGGGAAGACCAAAACUUGUCACUGGUUUGGAAUAAAUGAAUAGUUUAGCACCUUUAUGGCUAUUUG
rnacentral:lncRNA from 1 species